rnacentral:lncRNA from 1 species
UGUAAGAAGCGGGUAAAUAUGGUUGACAAAAAAGGAACCUAACCUUGAUAAUGAUACAAAUAAUUAUGCAAACAUUGAUAAACUCUUCUAUAAAAAAACUAUGGCAAACAAACUUUCCAGGAAAAAUAAAUAUUACAAACUGGCGAGUGUACAAUGGAUACAUUCCAAUUAUGGGCAGUCUACACUAUAAGAGGAAGUAGAGACAAAAUCGACAGAAGACGCUUUCAGAGAUUGUGCUGCAGUAAAAAACAUAUAGAAAGAAUUAGGGUUUCAAAUUAUACAAAGAGAUGAGGAAGUGAGAUAUCAACAGUGGAUAAGAGAGUUACUUAACAAUACGACAAGAAUAUAGAAUAAGACUAUUUUUUUUUUGCAGCAUCUGGGCAAUGUGGUUGAGGAGAAACAAGAUCCUGCACGAGAAAAAGGUCCAAUCAGUGGAGGAUACAAUUUUCUUUAUUUGUAAAUAUUUGAGGGAAUGGGAAGAGGUAAAUCACAGAUUACCAGGUCAAAGGGUGGUAGAAGAGCGGUGGAGGCCAC